GCAUCAAUGGGGUAGUGGUAACCUGGGUCGUUGCCAUUUCCUCCGAGAUAUUGUCGGUUUUCGACCCGCCGGGGGGUUCAAUUCCCCCUUGAUGCA